UGUGUCACGGGGCGGACCCGAACCCGUGUUGCUCCUGCAACUGGGUGUCAAGAUUUCUCCUCUGCCUGCUUUCCCUGAGCGCAGCACGCCCACGCAGCGACAAGGCUGCAGACAAUCAUGCAUCAGCGCACCUGGACAUGACGAGAGGGAGCGGCAUAAAAUACCAGCGAAACCAGGAGACCUUUGCCAGAACUUAGCCAAUCUCCCCUGAAGUCUUCCGUAAUCGUGUCUUGCCUCACGACUUCCUCCCGGAUCUUUGCUUGCCUUCCCCGAUCCUCGACCACUGCUUGGACCCGGACAUUGUUGCCUCCUUCCAGCCCCCGACUGCUUGCCUCCCUGCUGACUGCCUCUUCGCCUUUCCCCUUGGAUUUGACGUCGAAUACAUCCAACACGCACCGACAACACUCUCUGGUAAAUUCCACAUUGUUAAUUCCACACAUCGUCCGCAUUCAGUCACUAGUGGUAUUAUACACACCCCACACAUUCAUCAAAGGUUUUAUAAUAAACCCUGUGAACCGCA